rnacentral:rRNA from 1 species
ACUCGUGUCGUGAGAUGUUGGGUUAAGUCCCGCAACGAGCGCAACCCCUACGUUUAGUUGCUAACGCGUGAAGGCGAGCACUCUAGACGAACUGCCGUUGACAAAACGGAGGAAGGUGGGAUGACGUCAAAUCAUCAUGCCCCUUAUGUUCUGGGCUACACACGUGCUACAAUGGCCGGUACAGACGGACGCAAAGCCGCGAGGUGGAGCAAAUCCUAAAAAGCCGGUCUCAGUUCGGAUUGCAGGCUGCAAUUCGCCUGCAUGAAGUCGGAAUCGCUAGUAAUCGCAGGUCAGCAUACUGCGGUGAAUACGUUCCCGGGCCUU